CCUACGGGAGGCAGCAGUGGGGAAUAUUGCACAAUGGGGGAAACCCUGAUGCAGCAACGCCGCGUGAAGGAAGACGGUUUUCGGAUUGUAAACUUCUGUUCUUAGUGAAGAAGAAUGACGGUAGCUAAGGAGCAAGCCACGGCUAACUACGUGCCAGCAGCCGCGGUAAUACGUAGGUGGCAAGCGUUGUCCGGAAUUACUGGGUGUAAAGGGAGCGUAGGCGGGAUGGCAAGUUGGGUGUUAAAUCUACCGGCUCAACUGGUAGUCGCACUCAAAACUGCUAUUCUUGAGUGAAGUAGAGGCAG
rnacentral:rRNA from 1 species